ACUCAAAUGAAUUGACGGGGGCUCACACAAGCGGUGGAGCAUGUUGCUUAAUUCGAGGCAACGCGAAGAACCUUACCUGGGCUUGACAUGUACGUAUUAACCCUAUGAAAGUAGGGCCACAGUCGCAAGACCGGAACGUGCACAGGUGCUGCAUGGCUGUCGUCAGCUCGUGCUGUGAAGUGUCGGGUUAAGUCCCUUAACGAGCGCAACCCCUGUCGUUAGUUGCUCACGCGUCAUGGCGAGUACUCUAGCGAGACUGCCGGUGUCAAACCGGAGGAAGGUGGGGAUGACGUCAAGUCCUCAUGGCCUUUAUGCCCAGGGUUGCAAACGUGCUACAAUGGCGCGUACAAAGCGAUGCGAGAUCGCGAGAUGGAGCAAAUCGCAAAAAGCGCGCCCCAGUUCGGAUUGCAGGCUGCAACCCGCCUGCAUGAAGUCGGAAUCGCUAGUAAUCGGGGAUCAGCUACGCCCCGGUGAAUGUGUUCCUGAGCCUUGUACACACCGCCCGU
rnacentral:rRNA from 1 species